rnacentral:lncRNA from 1 species
UUCCUGUGACUGCAUCCAGUUCUUUAUGAUUAUGAAUCUGGAUUUCAGACACAUUCAUUGCUGGAAAGAAUCAGGUUUGGACAAAAAGCAGACUACUUAAUUGAACCAAGCAUUUAGAUAAUGGAGAUUCGAGAAGAAACGCGUGCAAGAACCCAACUUAUAGUUCAACGUUUACAAGAGGCGCCACUACCAUGAUUCACUCACUAUUAAGACGCCCUUAGCUGAAGAAGCAUCAGCGGUUAAUGCACUCAAUCUCACCAUCAUUAAUCUCUCACUUUAAUUUUGUUACACACAAAAAUGAAAUUAGUUAACCUCUGAGUAUUUGAUUCAAACAGGUACCCUACAAAGGACACUCAUUUUCUUAAGGACAACGUCAAAAUUUGUACCUCCACCAGAAAAGAAGGAUUACCAAAGCCCGUUUCAAAUCUCCUGUUUCUUUAUAUGUUUGUUUAUGUAAUUUUAUAUUUUAAAAGGACGUGAGCUUGCUUAUUGUACAAUGGACAGACCAACUUUGCCCUCCUUUGAAGGCUUAAUUCUCCUUUUACAAGUCAGAAAACAAUGUAUUGGAUGCCCAAACCUGAUUAGUUCUGCUUUGCUUUGGCCAAAGGAAUAAAGUAAUAUGGCUA